rnacentral:rRNA from 1 species
GAUGAACGCUGGCGGCGUGCCUAAUACAUGCAAGUCGAGCGAACAGACGAGGAGCUUGCUCCUCUGACGUUAGCGGCGGACGGGUGAGUAACACGUGGAUAACCUACCUAUAAGACUGGGAUAACUUCGGGAAACCGGAGCUAAUACCGGAUAAUAUAUUGAACCGCAUGGUUCAAUAGUGAAAGACGGUUUUGCUGUCACUUAUAGAUGGAUCCGCGCCGCAUUAGCUAGUUGGUAAGGUAACGGCUUACCAAGGCAACGAUGCGUAGCCGACCUGAGAGGGUGAUCGGCCACACUGGAACUGAGACACGGUCCAGACUCCUACGGGAGGCAGCAGUAGGGAAUCUUACGCAAUGGGCGAAAGCCUGACGGAGCAACGCCGCGUGAGUGAUGAAGGUCUUCGGAUCGUAAAACUCUGUUAUUAGGGAAGAACAAAUGUGUAAGUAACUAUGCACGUCUUGACGGUACCUAAUAAGAAAGCCACGGCUAACUACGUG